ensembl:lncRNA
AUGAAGAUCUCCGAGCUGAAAGAAAUAAUCUCCGAUCUCAGGAAAACAUCUUCCAAUCGGAAUGGUACACCUUCCAAAAUGAGCGGGACACUCUGCAAUUCAAGCUUGACUGUCUCCAAUCCGAGCGGGACACUGCAAUCCAAGCUCGACUGUCUCCAAUCUGAGCGAGACACCUUCCAAAAUGAGUGGGACACUCUGCAAUCCAAUCUUAACAGUCUUCAUUCCAAACUACAUGCCCUCCAAUCCAACUUUCAUGCCAUAUCAGAAAAGUUGGUCCAAGCUGAGCUUGAGAGACAGAGCAUGGAAAACAACCAGCCUGAUCGACCACAGGAGGCACCACAACUGAUUUCAGUUGCCCCUGUACGAGGACGGAAGUUGAAACGAAUAUCGCUUUCUCCGGAACAGGAGACAGCAAAGCGAGAAGGUCCAGGGGAGCCACCCCAAAGUCCAGGGGAAGGGCCCUCAAUGAGAUCCCGGUCACCAACGCCCACCAGGGCAACAACAACUGAAAGAGACAUUGAAACCCUUACUACUCGUCCUCUGAAAAUGACUGAACUUCGAGUCUUGAGAAAAGACUUUACACGGCACCCAGGUGAACGCAUUGUCACCUGGCUACUUAGAUGCUGGGACAGUGGGGCCAACAGUGCACUGCCAGACAGUACAGAAGCCUGCCAGCUGGGAAGUAUUGCCAGAGACUCAGCGAUUGACAGAGAUAUCAGUAGAUGCCAGGAUGAGUCCUUCACCCUUUGGAAGUGGAUGCUAUUAGCUGUGAAGGAAAAAUACCCCUUCAAAAAUGAUCUGAUGCCUGAGGCAAACAAAUGGACUGCUAUGGAAAAAGGCAUCCAUUAUUUGAGAGAAUGCACUGUGGUGGAAAUGUUACAUGACCCUGGGUUCAUUCCUGAUGAUCCAAACCAGGAGCAUGAUCCUGAGAGAAUCAGGUGUACACCAGACAUGUGGCGUACCUUCACAAGAACUGCACCAGAAAAGUACGCUGGUACAUUAGCAGCCAUGUAUGGCAAAUGGGAAAGAAGACCCCCUAUGGGUGAACUGAUUUCCAGGCUCCAUGACUUUGAGCUACAUUUAACCCCUCUGCAAGUUUAUGCUUCAGCCAUUGUAAAGGUAACUGAAAGACUGGAUAGAUUUGAGAGUGAUCACGAUGAUAUAAUAGAGGAACUGACUUCUUUGCCUCAUGACGAUAAACCUGAUGACAAUCAGGAUUAUCGAGACACCCUACGGGAGGGGCUAAGCAAUUUGUUUUCCUCCCAGUUUGCAUCAUCCAACGUCUCAGCUAUUAGAAGAAGAAAACAUUCUCCUGCUCGAGCAAGUGACAACAGUGAGACUAUGUCACGCGUUGCCUUGUGGCGUUUUCUACGUGACCAUGGAGAAGACAUGAAGAAGUGGCACAAAAAACCCGCUCCUGCACUACAAGCACGGGCAACAGAACUGUUAGCCAAAUCAACCAUCAAGGUGAAAUCCUCCGCUUCUGUUGCUGGGGGACGUGGUAAAAGCCGUAAGGGCCCUGAUCAGAAGAACAAGGGAGGUAACAAGUAG